GACAAAAUAACACAUACCAGACAAUGAUUAGGGUGAAUUCUGAGACAAAAUAGCACAUACCAGACAAUGAUGAGGGGUGAAUUCUGAGACAAAAUAACACAUACAAGACAAUAAUGAGGGUAGAAUUCUGAGACAAAAUAACACAUACCAGACAAUGAUGAGGGGUGAAUUCUGAGACAAAAUAACACAUACCAGACAAUAAUGAGGGGUGAAUCCUGAGACAAAAUAACACAUACCAGACAAUGAGGGUAGAAUUCUGAGACAAAAUAACACAUACCAGACAAUGAUUAGGGUGAAUUCUGAGACAAAAUAGCAUAUACCAGACAAUGAUGAGGGGUGAAUUCUGAGACAAAAUAACACAUACCAGACAAUAAUGAGGGGUGAAUUCUGAGACAAAAUAACACAUACCAGACAAUGAUGAGGGGUGAAUCCUGAGAAAGAAUACCACAUACCAGAUAAUAAUGAGGGUAGAAUUCUGAGACAAUAGUUAUCAAAGGUACAAAUACCACAUACAAGACAAUAAUUAGGGUGAAUUCUGAGACAAAAUAGCACAUACCAGACAAUGAUGAGGGGUGAAUUCUGAGACAAAAUAACACAUAUCAGACAAUGAUUAGGGGUGAAUCCUUGGAAAAAAUACCACAUACCAGACAACGAGGGUAGAAUUCUGAGACAAAAUAACACAUACCAGACAAUUAUUAGGGUGAAUUCUGAGACAAAAUAGCACAUACCAGACAAUGAUGAGGGGUGAAUUCUGAGACAAAAUAACACAUACCAGACAAUAAUGAGGGUAGAAUUCUGAGACAAAAUAAAACAUACCAGACAAUGAUGUCAGAUGAGGGGGGAAUUCUGAGACAAAAUAGUGCAUGCCAGACAAUGAUGAGGGGUGAAUUCUGAGACAAAAUAGUGCAUGCCAGACAAUGAUGAGGGGUGAAUUCUGAGACAAAAUAGUGCAUGCCAGACAAUGAUGAGGGGUGAAUUCUGAGACAAAAUAACACAUUGCAGACAAUAAUUAGCAGUGACUUAUUAGAUGGAAUAGGAUAUAAGAGAGAACAAUUAGGGGAAUUCAUGAGACAAAAUAACAUAUAUAACAGGGAACAUUUUCGGGGAAUCAUGAGACAAAAUAACAUUAAUAACAAAGAACAAUAAGAAUUCUCCAGUAGGGUACCCGUUUAAUACACAAGGUCAUGUUUAAAAAUUACUUAAGGUCACUUUUAAGCAAACCAGAGAGUUCUAAACUGAUCUGAUUCUUGGUUUUGAACAUUUUUUAAGGACUUGUGUCUUUUUUAAAUGAGACAUCAGGUCACAAGGUUGCAGAUCGAAAUUUACCAUGUAGGAGCCCCAAGGGGUAAAUCAUGAGACAGGAUAAAAUAUAACUGAACAAUAAGAGGGAAUUAAAAGACCAAGUACAACAUGCAAAAAAAUUAAAAGAAGACAAAAUACUUUACAUCAAAUAACAAAUUUGUAUCAGAAUAAUCAUUUUCCAUUAUUUCCCAAUCAUAAUGCAUGGUAAGAAAAAGAGUAAAAAAAAUGUCCUAGAUAGUUAAAUAUGAGUAAUAACCAUACACAAGAUUCUUUGCUUCAAGAUGAUUUUUUUUUUAAAUUGUGACAUGACUGUUGCUUUUAUUUAUGUAACAAAAAAGAUGGUAUGAAUUACCUUUUUGCAUCAAAAUUACAGAAUUGUGGGUAAUAAAUUAGGAUAUUAUUCUGAUCAUUUUUAUUUUGUAAGACUUUUUGGGAGAUAAUACCAUAUAUAUAGGUUGUUUCCACUUGUAUUGAUACUUUUGUGAUAUAAAUGUCUUAUAUUUUA